UCCUACGGGGCGCAGCAGUUAGGAAUAUUGGGCAAUGGAGGAAACUCUGACCCAGCAACGCCGCGUGAAGGAAGAAGGUUUUCGGAUUGUAAACUUCUGAUCUGUGGGACGAAGAAAGUGACGGUACCACAGGAGAAAGCCACGGCUAACUACGUGCCAGCAGCCGCGGUAAUACGUAGGUGGCGAGCGUUGUCCGGAAUAACUGGGCGUAAAGGGAGCGUAGGUGGUUGAUUAAGUUAAAUGUGAAAGCCCAGGGCUCAACUCUGGAACUGCAUUUAAUACUGGUCGGCUAGAGUACAGGAGGG
rnacentral:rRNA from 1 species